rnacentral:rRNA from 1 species
AGUGAACGCUGGCGGUAGGCCUAACACAUGCAAGUCGAACGGCAGCACAGUACGAGCUUGCUCGUACGGGUGCCGAGUGGCGGACGAGCCCUGGAUAAAUCCUGAUCUACUCUGUAGUAGGUGCUUACGCAGGGACUCCUACGGCAAUAGCCCAUACGACCUACGGGGGUGAUCAUCGGACCUUCGGCCCUUCCGCGCGCGGAUGCGCCGCUGUCGGGUUGGCGAGGUGGCGGGGUAAAGGCCCACCAAGGCGACGAUCCGUAGCUCGUCUGAGAGGACGCUCAGGCACACUGGACCUGAGACACGGUCCCGACCCCUACGGUAGGGCGCAGUGGGGAAUAUUGGACAAUGGGAGCAAGCCUGAUCCAGCCAGGCCGCGUGGGUGAAGAAGGACUUCGGAUUGUAAAGCGCUUUUGUUGGGAAAGAAAGGCAGCAGGUUAAUACCUGGCUGUUCUGACGGUAACCACAGAAUAAGCACCGGCUAACUUCGUG